rnacentral:tRNA from 1 species
GGCCGCAUAGUUCAACUGGAUAGAACAUCAGAUUUCGGCUCUGAGGGUUAGGGGUUCGAAUCCUCUUGCGGUCACAA